AUAUUGGUAAUCACUUGAAGACAUUGAGGAGAAGGUAUGUCAAAAUCAACCAACUUAGGAGUUUGAGUGGUGCACUUUGGGAUGAAGAUCAAUACAUUAUUUCUCUUGAUCAUGAGCACUACCGGAACCAUUUUGAGGGCGUUUGCCGACUUGCCACUGUUGUACAAGAUCAGUUGGAUGACCAUGUUUAUUAAUGCGAACUUCUAGUUGAUUGCUUGUGUAUCUUCCUCUAAUAUGGAUCUAUGUACUUUUAAUUAAGUAGACCUAUGUACUAUUAAUUAAGUGAUCUAUGUACUUUUUGGACCUAUGUACUUUUUAAUUAAGUGGGCAUAUGUGCCUUUUAAAUUUGGACUUAUUUGUAUGU